AAUCAACGCUGGCGGCGUGCCUCAGACAUGCAAGUCGAACGAUUAAGACUUCCUUCGGGAAGUGUAUAAAGUGGCGCACGGGUGAGUAACACGUAAGUAAUCUACCUUCGAGUGGGGAAUAACAUCGGGAAACCGAUGCUAAUACCGCAUAAUGCAGCGGCAUCGCAAGAUGACAGUUGUUAAAGGAGCAAUUCGCUUGAAGAGGAGCUUGCGGGAGAUUAGCUAGUUGGUAAGGUAAUGGCUUACCAAGGCUACGAUCUGUAUCCGGUCUAAGAGGACGGUCGGACACACUGACACUGAAUAACGGGUCAGACUCCUACGGGAGGCAGCAGUCGGGAAUUUUGGGCAAUGGGCGAAAGCCUGACCCAGCAACGCCGCGUGAGGGAUGAAGUAUUUCGGUAUGUAAACCUCGAAAGAGUGGGAAGAAUAAAUGACGGUACCAUUUAUAAGCUUCGGCUAACUACGUGCCAGCCGCCGCCGUAAGAC
rnacentral:rRNA from 1 species